rnacentral:rRNA from 1 species
GGGCUCACACAAGCGGUGGAGCAUGUGGCUUAAUUCGAGGCUACGCGAAGAACCUUAUCCUGGGCUUGACAUGUGCGAAAGCGCUAGGGAGUAGGGUGCGGAAACGUUACCCCAACGGUAUCCAGUCCGGAACCUAGUACAGGUGCUGCAUGGCUGUCGUCAGCUCGUGUCGUGAGAUGUUGGGUUAAGUCCCGUAACGAGCGAAACCCUUGUUUCCAGUUGCCAGCGGGUCAUGCCGGGGACUCUGGAAAGACUGCCGGUGUUAAACCGGAGGAAGGUGGGGAUGACGUCAAGUCCUCAUGGCCUUUAUGCCCAGGGCUGCACACGUGCUACAAUGGCGUGGACAGAGGGACGCAAACCCGCGAGGGGGAGCUAAUCCCAAAAAGCACGCCCCAGUUCAGAUUGCAGGCUGCAACUCGCCUGCAUGAAGUUGGAAUCGCUAGUAAUCGCAGGUCAGCAACACUGCGGUGAAUGUGUUCCUGAGCCUU